rnacentral:lncRNA from 1 species
GCAUGUUCGGAGGAGGGGCCCCGAUGCCCCGGUGAGGAGCUGCGAGCGGCUGGAGAUUGUUGGUGGUCGGCGAGGGAGCGGGAGGCCUAAGAAGCAUUGGGGAGAGGUGAUUAGACAGGACAUGACCAGAAUGCAGGUUACCAAGACGCCUUUCCCGGGGUUGGGUGUGGGAUAGUAGGGUUACCCAUAGGUGAUUAGUGUUUUAGCUUAGGUCCCCAGAGGGUUGAUAGUAUGGUAGUUACUGCUUGUUAUUAUUGCAUGCGACUGUAUU